GUCUUUCUGAACUUGGGAUUUAACUUUUUAUAGAAUACCUUUGAAGGAUAAGGAAACUAUCCAGAUAUGGAUAUAUUCCAGGAUAACCUGGCUUGGGAUCCGGAUCAGGAUUCGUUUGGAAAAGGAGCAAUUGAAUGCAAGUGGCAUUAUGAUGAAGAGGAGCAUGAUCAGGAUUACGACUAUUUUGGUGAGGCUUAUGGCAGCG